GGGAGCCAGGAGCGGGGACAAUCCCCUCGGCUCGGCAGCAGCGCCGGGAGGCAGCGGGCGGUGCCCUCAGGGCAGGACAAAUCAUCAAACUCCUCCCAUCUUUGCCAAAAGCUUUGGUGUUUAAGCAGCCAAAGGCAAGAGGCUUCAGCACCAGGGGUCUGCGCUGGAGGGCUCUGGUCCUGCCCGUGCUGUGGUGAGCCAGGCCUGGCACAGGGAAUCGUGCAGGUGCUGGUCUGGCACCGGAGCUGCUGCCCUUUGGAGCCAUUUUAAAGGCUGUCCUUGCUGGAGCACCCUGGUCCCUGCCACGGCCAAGCCCUGAGGCACAGAGGGAGCCCUGUCCCAAGUGGCCUUUGGCACCUUGUCAGGAAUGUGGCAGCAGCCCCGGGAGCAGCUGGAGGAGAAAACCUCCCAGCAGAGACAGAUUGCAAUGGAGGCCAGAGUUGUGUUUGGAGCAGGGAGUGCUGAGAGCUGCGUCUGCCUGUGCUGCCACAGCCUGACCACAGGCACAUGGAACAGCCUGGGAAAAGGGAUUGGGGGCAUUUCUGAUGCCCCAGUGAGAAGAACACAAACUCACAGCCAUUCAGCCUGACAGUCCCCUCCACCCAGAGCUCAGCACACAUCCUCAGAGGGAAGUCCAGCAUCUGAAGGGAAAAAAAAUACACAGAAGAAAAAGCAGCCAGCAGGGAAGGGAGAAGAGGAUCCCUGUGGGAUGAGACUGGAGAGAGCGAGCAGAGGAGCAGCCUCGGGCUGGAGAAAGGCAAAGGGACCAACAUGGUGUCACCAGGGCACCUGUGAGGAACAGAAUGGACACUUGGAGGCCACGUGGAGGAAAGGGAUGGAUAUCUCUGUCUUCAGCACACCUCCAGUGGGAGCUACCUGUGAAAGCUUUCCUUCACUUCUGCACUUGCAGCUGGAUCCCUGAGAAACUCCAAACUCCAUCCCACUGAUUUUCAGGAGCUCCUGGCCUCCUCCUGCCCUGCGCUCCCAGCCAGCUGGGACACACCGAGGGAACACCAAGGAGCAUCGCUGGCAGCGAUCAGGAGACACCAAGGCCUCUGGGCCAGAAGAACAGCCCUGGCCUCAGCAGCCUCCAUCGCUUUGACCUGGCAACACUCACCUGCAGGAAACGCCCCCUGGCACUCUCCAGAAGAGCUUGGGCCACAGAGCAAGGUGACCCUCAGGACUUGUCUUGUUUGCUUCUUCCUGGGGAAACACAGGGACAUUGCAGGAGCACAUGUACAGCUGCUGGGUAAAUCCUGGAGAGGGCAGAAAAAUCAGGGUUAUGGGGAAGAGUUGGUGCUGACAUGCUGAGUGCCAGCCAGUUCUGCCCUACAGCCAUUGCAGGGGCUGGUGUGUAAAGCAGCAUUAGCAGAAGGGAAGGAGCUGCAUUUGUAGAGGAGUUCUCUUACUGGCAGCAGUCAUUCCCAUCCCACACAGGACCUUUGGAACAACCCUGGGAUUGGCUCAGGUGUUUGGAACAGGGUACAAAAUUCUGUGUUCAAUGCCCACCUGGGCCAGUCACUUCUCAGCAUUUGACUCGAUGAUCCUCACAGCUAUGGAAAUAAAGAACAAAUAGUUUCCAUCGGUUUUUUAACACGAGGGGUUUUUCCCUAGUGUUUCCCUGGGGCUCCAGUCCCACACC